rnacentral:rRNA from 1 species
CACGUAGGGUGCGAGCGUUGUCCGGAAUUAUUGGGCGUAAAGAGCUCGUAGGCGGCUUGUUGCGUCGUCCGUGAAAACCUGUGGCUCAACUACAGGCUUGCGGUCGAUACGGGCGGGCUGGAGUUCGGAAGAGGCGAGUGGAAUUCCAGGUGUAGCGGUGAAAUGCGUAGAUAUCUGGAGGAACACCGGUGGCGAAGGCGGCAUCCUGGACCGGUAUUGACACUGAGGCGCGAAAGCCAGGGGAGCAAACGGG